GUGCAAACUCGAUCACUAGCUCUGCGUGAUGUGGCAGAAGCUAAGGGAACCAGGUUUGCUAAAGUAAUAUGUGGUGAUAGGAAUGUAUUAGCCUCAGAAGCUACCGAGGUUGCCCAUUCUGUCUUCAUACAGUA
ensembl:snoRNA SNORA66 Small nucleolar RNA SNORA66